rnacentral:rRNA from 1 species
UGAGGAAUAUUGGUCAAUGGGGGCAACCCUGAACCAGCCAAGUCGCGUGAAGGAUGAAGGUCUUAUGGAUUGUAAACUUCUUUUAUACAGGAAUAAAUUGGGGGACGUGUCCCCUUUUGCAUGUACUGUAUGAAUAAGGAUCGGCUAACUCCGUGACAGCAGCCGCGGUAAUACGGAGGAUCCGAGCGUUAUCCGGAUUUAUUGGGUUUAAAGGGUGCGCAGGCGGGAUGUUAAGUCGGCGGUGAAAUUUUGCAGCUCAACUGUAAAAGUGCCUUCGAUACUGGCCUCCUUGAGUGUGGAUGAAGUAGGCGGAAUUUGUGGUGUAGCGGUGAAAUGCUUAGAUAUCACGAGGAACUCCGAUUGCGCAGGCAGCUUACUAAACUACAACUGACGCUCAUGCACGAAGGCGUGGGGAUCAAACA